CAACGCCAACGGAAAAAACAACAACCAAAAAGAGAGAGAGAGAAGGAAAUGAGCAUGGAGCCUGUGGCUGCUCCGGAGGGCCGGCCGGAGGUGAAAGGUGCAAAGGGGAACCACACCUUAACAGAGCGUUUGCUAAUAUGGAUAGUUCUUUCCUGUUACAGUGGUGUGAAGAAAAGGUGACUAUCUUACAACUUUGGUAGAGAGAAGUGUGCAGGAGUUAGCAAUGAAGUCCAGACUAUCCUGAAUUAGUUCUCCAACUGACAUAGGCCUGUUCCCAACAUUUGUUUACUGCACCCUUGUUGGUGCUUUGCUUUUUCACAGUGCAUGUGUGCCUUCAUCAAAAGCAUUUGGGUGGGGUCCGAAGCUACAUGUACCUGCUUUUUAGAGAUGACAAGGUUCUCCACAGGCUGGGGGGCUUUGAAGACCUGGAUCUCCUCAAUGAUGUGGACCAUGGAACCAAUGACCACAGCCUUGUGAAUCCAGCCAUUACCUGUUAAACGGGAGUAAACAUUAAAAAGGCAAUUUCCCACACAG